rnacentral:lncRNA from 1 species
AGGACAGAUUAUUUUAGUAACUUAAAUAAACCCUCCACUCCUUCCUCCAAGCCAUAAUUUACAUACAGAUUUUUGAAUUGAAAUCUUAGAAUUUCAUAAGUUGAAUUUCCCUAAAGUGAGGAGCACUUUUAACUUGAAAUGUUGCCCAAGAGAUGAUCUUCUCCAGGUCAUUAAUUUAUUAUAUCUAUCAAUAUUUUGGCAAAGGACCAAACAUUUGGAAGUUGCAUGGAAAAAUGGAAGUUGUAUAACUACAUUUUUUUUUAACAUGCCAGAUACUGUGAUCCAAUAAAGAGAAGAGAAAAUUAUUCUUGACAAUCAGUGAGAAUAAAGUGGUUGACACAGGCUAUUUGCAUUGAACCUAAGAUGAUUUCUCAACUUUUCUGUCCUAGCCACCCUUGUGAACCUGAAAUCCCAUGUAUACGUGGGUCACUAAAAAAAUAUCAUCUAAUUUCCCAGAUGCAGUUGUGAAUGGGAAAAGAAAAACCACACUAAAUUUAAUUCUAUUCUCUCUAAGCCUGCAUUGAUGGUCUUUCAGGCCUGGCGUUGUAGAUCAGUGUCCACUAAGGGGCCAUGGCAUGACUAAGUAGAGCCAUCCAUUUUUGUGUAAUUCCACUCAUUUCAACCAGUUACCUGCCUCAAAUCUGAUUAGGUCUAAUUUCCUGGUGGCCUAGCAGGUUAAAGAUCUGGCGUUGUCAGUGUUGUGGCAUAGGUUUGAUCCUUGGCCUGGGAACUUCUGCACUCUGUGGGUAUGGCCAAAAAUAAUAGUAAAAUAAAAUUUUAAAAACUUAAAAAUCAAAAAGUGACUACAAAAAAUACAAGGCAAAAAAAAAAUCUGAUUAGGGCUAUUCUUUAAGUCUUCAUUGUUAUCUUCAAACUGAGGUCAUCCUUUCUCCCAAGAACAGAUGAUCUAUUAAAAAACCAGUUAGAUUCACUAAACAUUUAUGAGGUUUCCAGUAUGCAAAUAAUUUUGCCUAGAGAUGGGAAAGAACAGCAUAAACAUAGUUAAGACUUGGCACAUACCUUUACUGAACCACUGAACUUUCCACACAUGAAAACAAAAAAGAAAAAAAGAAUUCCAGUUUUUAAAAGCUAAUUUAGCAAAAGGAUUUUUUUCUUUCAUACUCUAUGGCCUUCCAGGGAGAGAAGAGUGAUACUCUCAAGCUGGUCUGUCCUGCAAGACAAAGAAGGAAUGAUUUCGGUCUUCUACCAUAGCGUUUUCUUCCCAGGGCUGUCAUAGUUACUCUUUGGCCAGAGCAGCCAGAGCUGUCAGAACAGGGCUCUAUAAGAAGCUAUUAUAUCACAGAAAGAAAACAUUUUCUUUGAACAAACAUGCUGAAUCUGAUGGCCACCUGUUUGAUACUACCGGUGGAGAGGCAAAACUGUGCUGAAAAAUCAAAAGAUGGUGAAUUUUGGAGAAGACAUCUGCUGGAAAAAAGAGAUUAUGAUUCCUCAGCCAGUCUUUGGGGGAGAAGGUGCAAUUUACUUGGAAUGGGAUUGAGUUCAAUUUCUGGCUCUACUACUUAAGAAUUUGGGAGCUUAGGAGUUCCCCUUGUGGCUCAGCAGCAAUGAACUCAGCUAGUAUCCUUGAGGAUGCUGGUUCAAUCCCUGGCCUCACUCUGUGUUAAGGAUACAGCAUUUCCACAAGCUUGGGCGUAAGUCGCAGAUGCAACUCGCAACCAGCACUGCUGUGACUGUGGUGUAGGUCGGCAGCUAUAGCUCCGAUUUGACCCCUAGCCUGGGAACUUCCAAAUGCCACAGGUGUGGCCAUAAAAAGGAAAACAAAUAAACAAACUCAGGGAGCCUUAAUUUUUUUGAUUUAUAAAAUGGGAAUAAUCACAUCUAAGUGGGUUAUUGGUGGUUAAGAACAAUAUACAUAAAGUGCCUAGCACAGAAAUAGUGCCAAAUAGUAAUGAUAAUGACGACCACCAUGACUAUUGAUAAUAUCAGCCUGAAAAUUGCUGAAGAAGCACAUCUGGUUCCCAUGGAUCUGUGCUGCCCUUCCCUCCUUCCCUGGAAUUUGAAUUGGACUUUCCUGCAGGGAAAGUUCACUACUUAUAAAUAAUCUCAUUCUGCUUCCCUUCCCAUAGUUCCUUGUAAGUCAUUCACACCAGCUUUGUCCAUUAUAACAUUGUGUUUGGAAUGUAACCAAGUCCACAGUCUUAAAGGUUGAAAUUUCAUUCAAUUAACAAUAAUUUAUUGAGGCCCUACUAGGUGCUAGAUACUGGCAAUUCAGUAAUUAAUAUAAAUUAAUAAAAUCUAUAAAAUUAUAUAGAUUUUAUAAUAUAAAAAAUCUAGGAGUUCCUGCUGUGGCGCAAAGGGAACAUCAGAAUCAUCAGCAUCUCUGCGGUGAUGGGUUAAAGGGUCAAAGGAUCCAAGGUUGAUGCAGCUGCAGUAUAGGUCACAACUGUGGCUGGAAUCUGAUCCCUGGCCCUGAGAAUCCAUAUGAUGUGGGAUGGCUAAGAAAAAAAAAGUGAAAAUAUAAUCUAAGAAUAAUAGCUGCUAUAAAGGGAGCUAUAUAUUGCUAUGAAAGAAUACAGUCUGGAAUUCCCACUGUGUCUCAGUGGAAAUGAACAUGACUUGUAUCCAUGAAGAUAUGUGUUUGAUCCCUGGUCUCCCUCCAUGGGUUAAGGAUCUGGCAUUGCUGUGAGCUGUGGUAUAGUUCACAGAUUUGACUUGAACAUGGCAUUGCUGUGGUUGUGAUGUAGGCUGGCAGCUGCAGCUCUGAUUUGACCCCUAGCCUGGGAACUGCCUUAUGCCACACCUGUGGCCCUAAAAAGAAAAAAAGAAAAAGAAAAA